rnacentral:rRNA from 1 species
CUAAAUACUACCCAGUGACCGAUAGCGUAUAGUACUGUGAAGGAAAGGUGAAAAGCACCCCGGGAGGGGAGUGAAAAAGAACCUGAAACCCUGUGCCUACAAGCACCUAGAGCGCGUCAAAGCGUGAUAGGGUACUUUUUGUAGAACGGUCCGGCGAGCGAUUGUAUGCAGCAAGGUUAAGGACUUAAGGUCUGGAGCCGAAGCGAAAGCGAGUUUGAAAAGGGCGUUAAGUUGCAUAUAAUGGGCCCGAAACCGGGUGACCUACCCAUGGUCAGGUUGAAGUGGAAGUAAAAUUCCAUGGAGGACCGAACCGACCUCCGUUGAAAAGGCGGCGGAUGAACUGUGGGUAGCGGAGAAAUUCCAAUCGAACCCGGAGAUAGCUGGUUCUCCCCGAAAUAGUUUUAGGACUAGCCUCAAGUUAGAUACCUGGAGGUAAAGCACUGAAUAGCCUAGCGGCCGAGAGGUUAGCGAAGCUUAUCAAACUCAGAAUGCCAGAGUAUUGAUGCUUGGGAGUCAGACAGUGUCAGAUAAAUGUCAUUGUCAAAAGGGAAACAGCCCAGAUCUACAGCUAAGGUCCCAAAGUCAGGUUAAGUGGAAAACGAUGUGAAGAUACGUAGACAACCAGGAUGUUGGCUCAGAAGCAGCCACACAUUCAAAGAGUGCGUAAUAGCUCACUGGUCGAGCGUCUUUGCGCGGAGAAUUUAACGGGGCUAAACCUGACACCGAAGCUUAGGCAAUACAGCAAUGUAUUGGGUAGGGGAGCGUUGUAUACGCGGUGAAACAGUAGCGCAAGCGGCUGUGGAGUGUAUAGAAGUGAGAAUGCCGGAAUGAGUAGCGCGAAUGCAGUGAGAAUCUGCAUGGCCGAAAGCCUCAGGUUUCUGGAGGAAGGUUCGUCCGCUCCAGGUUAGUCGGGAGCUAAGGUGAGGCCUAACGGCGUAGCCGAUGCACAGACGGUAGAGAUUCCGUCACCACCAAAAGAGUUAAACACAGGGACACAUUUGAAGUCUCGGAGCCGGGUGUUGGUUCCGGUAGCGAUCGAGGGAAGUUAGUACCGAAGUCUGAGAUGGAAGAUGGCGAGAAAAGCUGUGUGUAUUUCUGCGGUGCCCGUACCGCAAACCGACACAGGUAGGUAGGAAGAAGAUUCUAAGGCCAACGGGAGAAGGGUUGUUAAGGAACUCGGCAAAUUGACCCCGUAACUUCGGGAGAAGGGGUGCUCCAGAGAUGGAGCCGCAGAGAAUCGGCCCAAGCAACUGUUUACCAAAAACACAGGUUUGUGCUAAAUCGAAAGAUGACGUAUACGAGCUGACGCCUGCCCGGUGCUGGAAGGUUAAGAGGAGAUGUGCAAGCAUUGAAUCGAAGCCCCAGUGAACGGCGGCCGUAACUAUAACGGUCCUAAGGUAGCGAAAUUCCUUGUCAGGUAAGUUCUGACCCGCACGAAAGGCGUAAUGAUUUGGGCACUGUCUCAACAGCCCGCCCGGCGAAAUUGUAGUACCGGUGAAGAUGCCGGUUACCCGC